UUUCCCUGAAGAGUUUGAUCCUGGCUCAGCGCGAACGCUGGCGGCGUGCCUAACACAUGCAAGUCGUGCGCAGGGUCGGCCCCUUUUGGGGCCGGCCGCUGAGCGGCAAACGGGUGAGUAACACGUGGGUAACCUACCCCCAGGAGGGGGAUAACCCCGGGAAACCGGGGCUAAUACCCCAUAAUGCCACCCGCCACUAAGGCGCGGUGGCCAAAGGGGGCCUCUGGCCUUCGGCCACGCUCCCGCCUGGGGAUGGGCCCGCGGCCCAUCAGGUAGUUGGUGGGGUAACGGCCCACCAAGCCUAUGACGGGUAGCCGGCCUGAGAGGGUGGCCGGCCACAGCGGGACUGAGACACGGCCCGCACCCCUACGGGGGGCAGCAGUGGGGAAUCGUGGGCAAUGGGCGAAAGCCUGACCCCGCGACGCCGCGUGGGGGAUGAAGCCCUGCGGGGUGUAAACCCCUGUCGGGGGGGACGAUGCGGACACGGGUUAAUAGCCCGUGUCCGUGACGGUACCCCCAGAGGAAGGGACGGCUAACUACGUGCCAGCAGCCGCGGUAAUACGUAGGUCCCAAGCGUUGCGCGAAGUCACUGGGCGUAAAGCGUCCGCAGCCGGUCGGGUAAGCGGGAUGUCAAAGCCCACGGCUCAACCGUGGACCGGCAUCCCGAACUGCCCGACUUGAGGCACGCCCGGGCAGGCGGAAUUCCCGGGGUAGCGGUGAAAUGCGUAGAUCUCGGGAGGAACACCGAAGGGGAAGCCAGCCUGCUGGGGCUGUCCUGACGGUCAGGGACGAAAGCCGGGGGAGCAAACCGGAUUAGAUACCCGGGUAGUCCCGGCCGUAAACCAUGGGCGCUAGGGCUUGUCCCUCUGGGGCAGGCUCGCAGCUAACGCGUUAAGCGCCCCGCCUGGGGAGUACGGGCGCAAGCCUGAAACUCAAAGGAAUUGGCGGGGGCCCGCACAACCGGUGGAGCGUCUGGUUCAAUUCGAUGCUAACCGAAGAACCUUACCCGGGCUUGACAUGCCGGGGAGACUCCGCGAAAGCGGAGUUGUGGAAGUCCCUAGGACUUUCCCCCGGCACAGGUGGUGCAUGGCCGUCGUCAGCUCGUGUCGUGAGAUGUUGGGUUAAGUCCCGCAACGAGCGCAACCCCUGCCCCCAGUUGCUACCCCGUUUGGGGAGCACUCUGGGGGGACCGCCGGCGAUAAGCCGGAGGAAGGGGGGGAUGACGUCAGGUCAGUAUGCCCUUUAUGCCCGGGGCCACACAGGCGCUACAGUGGCCGGGACAAUGGGAUGCGACCCCGUAAGGGGGAGCUAAUCCCUAAACCCGGUCAUGGUGCGGAUUGGGGGCUGAAACUCGCCCCCAUGAAGCCGGAAUCGGUAGUAACGGGGUAUCAGCGAUGUCCCCGUGAAUACGUUCUCGGGCCUUGCACACACCGCCCGUCACGCCACGGAAGUCGGUCCGGCCGGAAGUCCCCGAGCUAACCGGCUCCUUCGGGAGCCGGAGGCAGGGGCCGAUGGCCGGGCCGGCGACUGGGGCGAAGUCGUAACAAGGUAGCCGUAGGGGAACCUGCGGCUGGAUCACCUCCUUUAN
rnacentral:rRNA from 13 species